UCGCAUUGCUUCUGAGUAUGCUGACUACCCAAAGCCCCUUCUGUGUUAUUAAUAAACACAGUACUGAUUGUCCCAUUUUUCAGCCCAUCAGUCCAAGAUCUCCCUACCACUUUGGUGUGUUGGUGCAGUGUUGACUAUGAAAAGCAGGCCUGAACUAGGUGGAUAAGCCUUCACUCAUUUUCUUUCAUUUAUUAAUGAUCCUAGUUUCAAUUAUUGUCAGAUUCUGGGGACAAGAACCAUUCUUGCCCACCUGUGUUACUGCUUUACUGUGCAAAAUACUGAAGGCAAGUCAGACCCAGGGAGCUGGAUUGCCAUCCUUUAUUUUGUGUUUCCAGUGUACACUAUAAAAUUGUCUCCCCAGGAAGGAAGGUUGGCACUUUCUCUGCAUUCUUCUUUCCAGAGCAGAUUGCCUGGUUAAGAAUCUCUUGUUGUCCCCUUUGUAUAUUGUUAUUGUAAAGUGCCAAAUGCCAGGAUACAGCCAGAAAAAUUGCUUAUUAUUAUUAAAAAAAUUUUUUUAAGAAAGACAUCUGGAUUGUAGGGUGGACUCGAUAACCUGGUCAUUAUUUUUUUGAAGCCAAAAUAUCCAUUUAUACUAUGUACCUGGUGACCAGUGUCUCUCAUUUUAACUGAGGGUGGUGGGUCUGUGGAUAGAACACUGACUCUUGCUAUUUUAAUAUCAAAGAUAUUCUAGAGUGGAACUCUUAAGACCAGUAUCUUUGUGUGGGCUUUACCAGCAUUCACUUUUAGAAAAACUACCUAAAUUUUAUAAUCCUUUAAUUUCUUCAUCUGGAGCACCUGCCCCUACUUAUUUCAAGAAGAUUGCAGUAAAACGAUUAAAUGAGGGAACAUAUGCAGAGGUGCUUUUAAAAAGCAUAUGCCACCUUUUUUAUUAAUUAUUAUAUAAAAUGAAGCAUUUAAUUAUAGUAAUAAUUUGAAGUAGUUUGAAGUACCACACUGAGGUGAGGACUUAAAAAUGAUAAGACGAGUUCCCUAUUUUAUAAGAAAAAUAAGCCAAAAUUAAAUAUUCUUUUGGAUAUAAAUUUCAACAGUGAGAUAGCUGCCUAGUGGAAAUGAAUAAUAUCCCAGCCACUAGUGUACAGGGUGUUUUGUGGCACAGGAUUAUGUAAUAUGGAACUGCUCAAGCAAAUAACUAGUCAUCACAACAGCAGUUCUUUGUAAUAACUGAAAAAGAAUAUUGUUUCUCGGAGAAGGAUGUCAAAAGAUCGGCCCAGCUCAGGGAGCAGUUUGCCCUACUAGCUCCUCGGACAGCUGUAAAGAAGAGUCUCUGGCUCUUUAGAAUACUGAUCCCAUUGAAGAUACCACGCUGCAUGUGUCCUUAGUAGUCAUGUCUCCUUAGGCUCCUCUUGAUCUUCCUCAGAAGAAUAGGCUUGUUGUUUUACAGUGUUAGUGAUCCAUUCCCUUUGACGAUCCCUAGGUGGAGAUGGGGCAUGAGGAUCCUCCAGGGGAAAAGCUCACUACCACUGGGCAACAACCCUAGGUCAGGAGGUUCUGUCAAGAUACUUUCCUGGUCCCAGAUAGGAAGAUAAAGUCUCAAAAACAACCACCACACGUCAAGCUCUUCAUUGUUCCUAUCUGCCAAAUCAUUAUACUUCCUACAAGCAGUGCAGAGAGCUGAGUCUUCAGCAGGUCCAAGAAAUUUGAACACACUGAAGGAAGUCAGCCUUCCCACCUGAAGAUCAACAUGCCUGGCACUCUAGCACUUGAGGAUAGCUGAAUGAAUGUGUAUUUCUUUGUCUCUUUCUUUCUUGUCUUUGCUCUUUGUUCUCUAUCUAAAGUGUGUCUUACCCAUUUCCAUGUUUCUCUUGCUAAUUUCUUUCGUGUGUGCCUUUGCCUCAUUUUCUCUUUUUGUUCACAAGAGUGGUCUGUGUCUUGUCUUAGACAUAUCUCUCAUUUUUCAUUUUGUUGCUAUUUCUCUUUGCUCUCCUAGAUGUGGCUCUUCUUUCACGCUUUAUUUCAUGUCUCCUUUUUGGGUCACAUGCUGUGUGCUUUUUGUCCUUUUCUUGUUCUGUCUACCUCUCCUUUCUCUGCCUACCUCUCUUUUCUCUUUGUGAACUGUGAUUAUUUGUUACCCCUUCCCCUUCUCGUUCGUUUUAAAUUUCACCUUUUUUCUGAGUCUGGCCUCCUUUCUGCUGUUUCUACUUUUUAUCUCACAUUUCUCAUUUCUGCAUUUCCUUUCUGCCUCUCUUGGGCUAUUCUCUCUCUCCUCCCCUGCGUGCCUCAGCAUCUCUUGCUGUUUGUGAUUUUCUAUUUCAGUAUUAAUCUCUGUUGGCUUGUAUUUGUUCUCUGCUUCUUCCCUUUCUACUCACCUUUGAGUAUUUCAGCCUCUUCAUGAAUCUAUCUCCCUCUCUUUGAUUUCAUGUAAUCUCUCCUUAAAUAUUUCUUUGCAUAUGUGGGCAAGUGUACGUGUGUGUGUGUCAUGUGUGGCAGAGGGGCUUCCUAACCCCUGCCUGAUAGGUGCAGAACGUCGGCUAUCAGAGCAAGCAUUGUGGAGCGGUUCCUUAUGCCAGGCUGCCAUGUGAGAUGAUCCAAGACCAAAACAAGGCCCUAGACUGCAGUAAAACCCAGAACUCAAGUAGGGCAGAAGGUGGAAGGCUCAUAUGGAUAGAAGGCCCAAAGUAUAAGACAGAUGGUUUGAGACUUGAGACCCGAGGACUAAGAUGGAAAGCCCAUGUUCCAAGAUAGAUAGAAGCCUCAGGCCUGAAACCAACAAAAGCCUCAAGAGCCAAGAAAACAGAGGGUGGCCUGAAUUGGACCGAAGGCCUGAGUUGGAUGGAAGUCUCAAGGCUUGAGUUAGAAGUCUUAAGACCUGGGACAGGACACAUGGAAGGCCUAAGAACUGAGACUUGUGACACAAGGCCAACGACCUAAGAUUAGCCCAGGGUUGUAGCUGGAAGACCUACAACCCAAGGAUGGAAGGCCCCUGUCACAAAGCCUACCUAGAUGGAUAGAGGACCCAAGCGAAAAAGGUAUCUCAAGACUAACGGCCGGAAUCUGGAGGCCCAUGACCCAGAACCCAGGAAGGAUAGAAGCUUGAAGACCUGGGGAAAUCCCAAGAUGAGAACCCUAAACCCUACCUCUUUUCUAUUGUUUACACUUCUUACUCUUAGAUAUUUCCAGUUCUCCUGUUUAUCUUUAAGCCUGAUUCUUUUGAGAUGUACUUUUUGAUGUUGCCGGUUACCUUUAGAUUGACAGUAUUAUGCCUGGGCCAGUCUUGAGCCAGCUUUAAAUCACAGCUUUUACCUAUUUGUUAGGCUAUAGUGUUUUGUAAACUUCUGUUUCUAUUCACAUCUUCUCCACUUGAGAGAGACACCAAAAUCCAGUCAGUAUCUAAUCUGGCUUUUGUUAACUUCCCUCAGGAGCAGACAUUCAUAUAGGUGAUACUGUAUUUCAGUCCUUUCUUUUGACCCCAGAAGCCCUAGACUGAGAAGAUAAAAUGGUCAGGUUGUUGGGGAAAAAAAAGUGCCAGGCUCUCUAGAGAAAAAUGUGAAGAGAUGCUCCAGGCCAAUGAGAAGAAUUAGACAAGAAAUACACAGAUGUGCCAGACUUCUGAGAAGCACCUGCCAGCAACAGCUUCCUUCUUUGAGCUUAGUCCAUCCCUCAUGAAAAAUGACUGACCACUGCUGGGCAGCAGGAGGGAUGAUGACCAACUAAUUCCCAAACCCCAGUCUCAUUGGUACCAGCCUUGGGGAACCACCUACACUUGAGCCACAAUUGGUUUUGAAGUGCAUUUACAAGGUUUUUUCUGGCAUCACUACCACUACUGAUUAAACAAGAAUAAGAGAACAUUUUAUCAUCAUCUGCUUUAUUCACAUAAAUGAAGUUGUGAUGAAUAAAUCUGCUUUUAUGCAGACACAAGGAAUUAAGUGGCUUCGUCAUUGUCCUUCUACCUCAAAGAUAAUUUAUUCCAAAAGCUAAGAUAAAUGGAAGACUCUUGAACUUGUGAACUGAUGUGAAAUGCAGAAUCUCUUUUGAGUCUUUGCUGUUUGGAAGAUUGAAAAAUAUUGUUCAGCAUGGGUGACCACCAGAAAGUAAUCUUAAGCCAUCUAGAUGUC
ensembl:lncRNA XIST X inactive specific transcript